GAUGAACGCUGGCGGCGUGCCUAAUACAUGCAAGUCGAGCGAACGGACGAGAAGCUUGCUUCUCUGAUGUUAGCGGCGGACGGGUGAGUAACACGUGGAUAACCUACCUAUAAGACUGGGAUAACUUCGGGAAACCGGAGCUAAUACCGGAUAAUAUUUUGAACCGCAUGGUUCAAAAGUGAAAGACGGUCUUGCUGUCACUUAUAGAUGGAUCCGCGCUGCAUUAGCUAGUUGGUAAGGUAACGGCUUACCAAGGCAACGAUGCAUAGCCGACCUGAGAGGGUGAUCGGCCACACUGGAACUGAGACACGGUCCAGACUCCUACGGGAGGCAGCAGUAGGGAAUCUUCCGCAAUGGGCGAAAGCCUGACGGAGCAACGCCGCGUGAGUGAUGAAGGUCUUCGGAUCGUAAAACUCUGUUAUUAGGGAAGAACAUAUGUGUAAGUAACUGUGCACAUCUUGACGGUACCUAAUCAGAAAGCCACGGCUAACUACGUGCCAGCAGCCGCGGUAAUACGUAGGUGGCAAGCGUUAUCCGGAAUUAUUGGGCGUAAAGCGCGCGUAGGCGGUUUUUUAAGUCUGAUGUGAAAGCCCACGGCUCAACCGUGGAGGGUCAUUGGAAACUGGAAAACUUGAGUGCAGAAGAGGAAAGUGGAAUUCCAUGUGUAGCGGUGAAAUGCGCGGAGAUAUGGAGGAACACUAGUGGCGAAGGCGACUUUCUGGUCUGUAACUGACGCUGAUGUGCGAAAGCGUGGGGAUCAAACAGGAUUAGAUACCCUGGUAGUCCACGCCGUAAACGAUGAGUGCUAAGUGUUAGGGGGUUUCCGCCCCUUAGUGCUGCAGCUAACGCAUUAAGCACUCCGCCUGGGGAGUACGACCGCAAGGUUGAAACUCAAAGGAAUUGACGGGGACCCGCACAAGCGGUGGAGCAUGUGGUUUAAUUCGAAGCAACGCGAAGAACCUUACCAAAUCUUGACAUCCUUUGACAACUCUAGAGAUAGAGCCUUCCCCUUCGGGGGACAAAGUGACAGGUGGUGCAUGGUUGUCGUCAGCUCGUGUCGUGAGAUGUUGGGUUAAGUCCCGCAACGAGCGCAACCCUUAAGCUUAGUUGCCAUCAUUAAGUUGGGCACUCUAAGUUGACUGCCGGUGACAAACCGGAGGAAGGUGGGGAUGACGUCAAAUCAUCAUGCCCCUUAUGAUUUGGGCUACACACGUGCUACAAUGGACAAUACAAAGGGCAGCGAAACCGCGAGGUCAAGCAAAUCCCAUAAAGUUGUUCUCAGUUCGGAUUGUAGUCUGCAACUCGACUACAUGAAGCUGGAAUCGCUAGUAAUCGUAGAUCAGCAUGCUACGGUGAAUACGUUCCCGGGUCU
rnacentral:rRNA from 1 species